AACGACCCUUGAGGAGAAGCCCGAAAAGAAAAGUUCAAAGAAGACAAUAUCUACUAACACGUAGACUUGGGUCGUUAUAGGUACCAUUAAAGAGUUACCACCUUAAUUUAAAGGGUUUUGAGUUUUUUAAAAAAUUACAUACCAAUAAAGGUGACACUUUUUGUUGGCCACACACUCUCAAGCUACCAUCUUGGGUCCUUCCUAUAUAUAUAUAUGGCAACCUAGGCUUCAUUACCAAAUCUCAUUACAAGAGAGAAACUUUUCCCAUCUCCCUCUCAUUCAAUUGCGAAGAAAAACCAAGUUUGAGCUGCUUUGGCCGUGGAGAUGUCCGAUGAGAAAAACGAGGGAGUUUUGGCUCGUUGGGGUGAGGGGCUCAAAGCCAAAUCUUCGAGCCUAAAGGCGAAGGUGGUCGAGUUAUUGAGAAAGACAAAGAAACUAGCCAAGGAUGAUCCAAGGAGAAUCGUUCAUUCUUUCAAAGUCGGCCUAGCCAUCACUUUGGUGUCAUUGUUCUACUACUUCGAGCCGCUCUAUGAUGGCCUUGGCGCCUCGGCUAUGUGGGCUGUCUUGACUGUCGUUGUCGUCUUCGAGUUCUCCGUAGGAGCGACGUUGGGACGGGGAUUGAAUAGGGUUUUGGCAACGUCUUUGGCUGCGAGUUUGGGAUUUGGAGCUCAUUUUUUGGCGGAUUUGGCUGGAGAUAAAGCUCAACCUGUUAUUCUAUCGCUCUCUGUUUUCAUUUUUGCUGCAAUAACGACGUUCAUACGAUUCUUCCCUCGAAUAAAGGCAAGAUAUGACUAUGGCUUCCUCAUCUUCAUCCUGACCUUUUGUUUAGUGUCGGUCUCCGGUUACCGAGAUGACGAGAUUCUUCAAGUUGCUUAUAGGAGAGCUCUCACCAUUCUACUCGGCACCUUCAUUGCCAUUCUCAUAUGCUUAUUCAUCUGCCCUGUUUGGGCUGGUGAUGAUCUCCAUUCUCUUGUCUCCAACAACAUCCAACUUCUCGCCAACUUCCUCCAAGGUUUUGGGGUUCAAUAUUCAAAUGAAUCGAAAGAAGAUGAGCUUCUUGAAGGAUGUAAGAGCGUUUUGACAUCGAGGCAAACUGAAGAGUCACUGGUUAACUUUGCAAGGUGGGAACCACGUCAUGGGGCCUUCAAAUUUCGUCAUCCAUGGAAGCAAUAUCGAAAGAUUGGAAGCUUAACGAGACAAAGUGCUUAUCGACUCGAAUCUCUCAACAGCUACCUUGUCACUGAAACUCAAACUCCAUUACACAUCCGAGACCGACUCAUGAAGUCUUGUUCUAAAAUGAGCAUCGAGUCAAGCAAUGCUCUGGAGGACAUAGCAUCCGACCUAAGAACGAUGACUCAACCUACAUUUCCAAAUCCCCACAUUGAGAAGUCGAAGGCAGCGAUGAAGGACUUGAAGGCAGCGCUUAAGAUUGGGCCGGGGGACGGGGACAUUGAUCUCCUAGAGAUAGUACCGAUAGCGACCGUGGCUUCAUUGCUCAUUGAUACCAUUUCUUGCAUUGAGAAGAUUGCAGAGUCCGUUGGUGAAUUGGGUUCACUUGCAAAUUUCAAGUGUGUUGAAGCUGGGAAAUCAAGUGGUUUGGAAUUGGAACAAGAGCACCAAAAGUUGCCAAAUUCAGCCAUUGUUAAUGAUCAUUGUCAUGUUGUUAUUGUAGAUUAGUUCAUUGAAAUCGUCACUCAUAGUGACCCUAGCGACUAGGUGACCUCAAUGAUAUAACAGCUUAAGGUACCUAUCGAGGUGGGGAGGUGUUCGAGAGCUGCAAUGUCACAGAGGGUUGUCAUUCCAGAGCAUCAGUCCGUUUUCUUAUUUGGAGUCUUUUGUAUUUUAUUUCAUAAUUGUAUUUCUCGUUUGUAAUAGUUGACUUUAAUUUUGGUGUCGGUUGAACUCUUUUUCUUGCUUUAAAUUUAAUCGAUUUUCAUCU